CCUACGGGGGGCAGCAGUGGGGAAUAUUGCACAAUGGGGGAAACCCUGAUGCAGCAACGCCGCGUGAGCGAUGAAGGCCUUCGGGGCGUAAAGCUCUGUCCUAAGGGAAGAAUACUGACGGUACCUUAGGAGGAAGCCCCGGCUAACUACGUGCCAGCAGCCGCGGUAAUACGGAGGGGGCUAGCGUUAUCCGGAAUUACUGGGCGUAAAGGGUGCGUAGGCGGCCCUUCAAGGCAGAGGUGAAAGGCUACGGCUAAACCGUAGUAAGCCUUUGAAACUGUAGGGCUUGAGUGCAGGAGAGGAGUGUGGAAUUCGCAGAGUAGCGGUGAAAUGCGUAGAUAGUGGAAGGAACACCAGUUGCGGAGUCGGGUUUCUUGACUGUAACUGGCGCUGAGGCACGGAAGCCUGUGGAGCGAACUGGAUUAGAUAUCCCAGUAGUC
rnacentral:rRNA from 1 species